UGCCGUGAAUAUCUACGGCUCGUCUGAAAUGCCUGAGCGUACCCCACUUUGCGGCGUAUUCGGUGUGAUACAUCUUCACCGGAGUUGAUCCUUUGUGGUCGCGUCUGUAAUGGUGUGGCUCUAUGCUUCGAACCGUCUACCCUGUGGACAAUCUCUGACAAUUUGACCUCAAAUCGGGUGGGACUACCCGCUGAACUUAA
rnacentral:misc_RNA from 1 species